GACGUAGGUGGCGAACGUUAUCCGGAAUCAUUGGGCGUAAAGAGCGUGUAGGCGGCCCGAUAAGUCCGCUGUGAAAGUCCAGGGCUCAACCCUGGAAUGCCGGUGGAUACUGUCGGGCUAGAGUCCGGAAGGGGCGAGUGGAAUUCCUGGUGUAGCGGUGAAAUGCGCAGAUAUCAGGAGGAACACCAAUGGCGAAGGCAGCUCGCUGGGACGGUACUGACGCUGAGACGCGAAAGCGUGGGGAGCAAACAGG
rnacentral:rRNA from 1 species